AACCGCACGGGAUAAUCAAUUAUCCCGUGCGGUUCACUUAACCCGACCGCACGGGAUAAUGAUUAUCCCGUGCGGUU
rnacentral:pre_miRNA from 13 species